GGGGAAUAUUGCACAAUGGGCGAAAGCCUGAUGCAGCGACGCCGCGUGAGGGAUGGAGGCCUUCGGGUUGUAAACCUCUUUCGCUCAUGGUCAAGCCGCAACUGUGGGUUGUGGUGAGGGUAGUGGGUAAAGAAGCGCCGGCUAACUACGUGCCAGCAGCCGCGGUAAUACGUAGGGCGCGAGCGUUGUCCGGAAUUAUUGGGCGUAAAGGGCUUGUAGGCGGUUGGUCGCGUCUGCCGUGAAAUUCUCUGGCUUAACUGGGGGCGUGCGGUGGGUACGGGCUGACUUGAGUGCGGUAGGGGAGACUGGAACUCCUGGUGUAGCGGUGGAAUGCGCAGAUAUCAGGAAGAACACCGGUGGCGAAGGCGGGUCUCUGGGCCGUUACUGACGCUGAGGAGCGAAAGCGUGGGGAGCGAACAGGAUUAGAUACCCUGGUAGUCCACGCUGUAAACGUUGGGCACUAGGUGUGGGGGCCACCCGUGGUUUCUGCGCCGUAGCUAACGCUUUAAGUGCCCCGCCUGGGGAGUACGGCCGCAAGGCUA
rnacentral:rRNA from 1 species